AGGACGUGUAGUUCGUCAAUGAUCUUUGGAUAAGCCCUAAGACAGUGCAGCCACGUUGAUACUUCCCAGCACCUGUACAGAGUGAGGAAUUGGCACAUGUAGAAAGCAGUUAAACGUCAGAAAUUUUCAGUGUCUGGCUGCAACUUCUUAAAGGAGGAACUUAAUCAGCAGAUUCCACUCCUCUCAUUAGCGGACAUCAGGCAACCUCUUAUUACAGAGUAAAAAAACUGAAGUUAACUCAAUUUGAGGAAGUGGAGUCGUGCUGGCUUACUGAGCAUUUCAAGCAAAAAAGCUGAAGAAAAGCCCCAUGAGAAACAUCUCAUCUCAGAAGAAGCAAAGAGAUAAAAGCUUGACAGCCCAAGUGACGGGAAUACCCAGACGUAUCCAUUCUCUUUUCACCA